UACGUAGGUGGCAAGCGUUGUCCGGAAUUACUGGGUGUAAAGGGAGCGUAGGCGGGAAAGCAAGUUGGGAGUGAAAUGUAUGGGCUCAACCCAUAAACUGCUUUCAAAACUGUUUUUCUUGAGUGAAGUAGAGGCAGGCGGAAUUCCUAGUGUAGCGGUGAAAUGCGUAAAUAUUAGGAGGAACACCAGUGGCGAAGGCGGCCUGCUGGGCUUUAACUGACGCUGAGGCUCGAAAGCGUGGGUAGCAAACAGG
rnacentral:rRNA from 1 species